CCGUGUCACAUGACGCUGAGGGCAAGCAGCUGUGCCCAGCUCCAGAGCUGGGCCUCCAGACACCAGCUGUGCCCCCCUCUGUGUGUUUCUUCCCCCUUCCCACUAGCUGGGACCCGGGUGUGCAGGCGAUCCUGCUUCAACCAUACAAGGACAAACACGGCACAAGAUGGAAAGAUUCCGUGGUCCAGAGAAUCCUUACCUUAAGCACCUUUUUUUCUUAAGAAGUUCUGGAGGAAAUGCUGAACGGUCCGGCUGCGGUCACAGGCUCACCCCUGAACCACUUACUAUGAACCCCAGAAGAAAGGAGGUUGGAAUAAAUCCGUAAAAUCAGUAGCUGCUCCAAUCCACUCAGGAACGCAGCCAACAUCACCAGGAGUGAAGACAGCGCUGAUGAGGGGAUGAGAAGGGUUUCCCUUUGAGCACGGAGUCCUUCCAGAGACCGACCAAAGAGGGGGGAGAGUCUGGAUGUUGGAACACAAAUCUCUAACACAGGCACUCACACGUACAGCAGGAAGAAACAUUUGGUUCUCCGUCACCUGAA